UUCAAAAAACAGAUCUGGACACCUUUUCUGUACACAUUAUUCAGACAUGUCUGUUGCCUCUGUUAAAAUUUAUAACGUCCUGAUAAUGUUUCCCCUGUUAUGAGCUAUUGCUUAAAUACAAACAAACAAAAUCACCUUUGCUGCAAUAUUCUUGUAAGCAGGAUUGAUAUGUUUCAGGCCAACACACCUUUCCUUUGUGUGUUACACAAGGCAGGGCCAUAAUUGCAAGCCCUCAUUCAGGAAAAUCAAUCCAGUGCUUUACCCCUAAACCUCUUCUUAAAACUGGCACCUUUGAUUUUGCUUUCGCAAGGCUCUGGCUUGUGCGCGUUGAACGUUGUGCUGCGGCCCCGUUGGCUCUCUGUGGGAAGAAGAAUGGCUUUUGUGGAGGAGUUGUGCAAUGCUGAGAGUAGCAAUAAUGGAGCACAGGCUCGGAAUUCUGCUCACGCCCGUACACAGAAGGGGGGACUCCGCCGGGUUUAUUUCGCCUUCCCCCAUCAGGUGCCGGGUCAUCUCUAAGACACCUCGUCCCUCCAGAGAGUAGGGCAGCUCUACACGGCACAACCCCUUUAGGCUUUGGAGACAAGCGGAGACACAGGCCCAUCUACCAAGCUCCCAAAAGCGGGAUUUUUAGGUACAACUGCUCCCAUUUUUUCCCCCCCUCUAUGGAGUAAUUAAAAAAGAUUCCCGAGGAGAAACUCCUGGGUCCAGGAUGCAGGUCCAAAAGUGCCUGUAAGCACAGUUUCCUGUUGGGGCUGUUUGGUGUGAAGAUGCAGUAGCAUUAGCGAAGAGGAAUCUGAGAGCAAGGGAAGGUUAUAAGGCUUUUUAUCAUGAGCGUGAGAUAAUCAAACUGGCACAUUGGCGACAGGAGACAUACCCUAUCCAUAUCUCACAUAAUAGCAGUGGACCUGCAGGAGGGACUAAGUAUCAACAAAUCUCCAGAUUGGGCAAAACGGUUUGGUGGGUGUGAUUAUGAAUAAGGAAGUGUGGUGUCUGCGUGUGCCUCUUGCUCAAUCUGUAUUGUCUCUGAGGUAGAGAGAGAGAGAGGAGAGUGAGAGAGA